rnacentral:rRNA from 1 species
GUGCGCCUACGGGGGGCAACAGUAGGGAAUCUUCCACAAUGGGCGAAAGCCUGAUGGAGCAGCGCCGCGUGGGUGAGGAAGGUCUUCGGAUCGUAAAACCCUGUUGUUAGAGAAGAAAGUGCGUGAGAGUAACUGUUCACGUUUCGACAGUAUCUAACCAGAAAGCCACGGCUAACUACGUGCCAGCAGCCGCGGUAAUACGUAGGUGGCAAGCGUUAUCCGGAUUUAUUGGGCGUAAAGAGAACGCAGGCGGUCUUUUAAGUCUGAUGUGAAAGCCUUCGGCUUAACCGGAGUAGUGCAUUGGA